CCUGGCGGCGAGUGGCGAACGGGUGAGUAAUAUAUCGGAACGUGCCCAUUAGUGGGGGAUAGCCCGGCGAAAGCCGGAUUAAUACCGCAUACGACCUGAGGGUGAAAGCGGGGGAUCGCAAGACCUCGCGCUAUUGGAGCGGCCGAUAUCAGAUUAGCUAGUUGGUGGGGUAAAAGCCUACCAAGGCAACGAUCUGUAGUUGGUCUGAGAGGACGACCAGCCACACUGGGACUGAGACACGGCCCAG
rnacentral:rRNA from 1 species